rnacentral:lncRNA from 1 species
GCGGCCAAGUCCAAGAACCACACCACACACAACCAGUCCUGCAAAUGGCACAGAAAUGGCAUCAAGAAACCCCGGUCGCAAAGAUACAAAUCUCUUAAGGGAGUUGACCCCAAGUUCCUGAGGAAUAUGCGCUUUGCCAAGAAGCACAACAAGAAAGGCCUGAAGAAGAUGCAGGCCAACAAUGCAAAGGCAGUGAGUGCGCGCACUGAGGCCAUCAAGGCCCUGGUGAAGCCUCAGGCCAUCAAGCCCAAGAUGCCAAAGGGCCCCAAACUCAAGCGGCUGGCUUUCAUCGCUCACCCUAAGCUUGGGAAGCGGAUUCGAAGCUACAUGGCCAAGGGUCAGAGGCUCUGCCAACCGAAGCCUAAGGUCCAAACCAAGGCAGGGUCCAAAGCUCCAGCUAAGGCCCAGGCUUCAGCUCCAGCCCAGGCUCCCAAAGGUGCCCAGGCCCCCAAAGGUGCCCAGGCCCCUGUGAAGGCCCCAUAG